rnacentral:rRNA from 1 species
UACAGAGGGGGCAAGCGUUGUUCGGAAUUACUGGGCGUAAAGGGCGCGUAGGUGGCCUUCUAAGUCAUGCGUGAAAUCCCCGGGCUCAACCCGGGAACUGCGUCUGAUACUGGAAGGCUUGAAUCCGGGAGAGGGAUGCGGAAUUCCAGGUGUAGCGGUGAAAUGCGUAGAUAUCUGGAGGAACACCGGUGGCGAAGGCGGCAUCCUGGACCGGCAUUGACGCUGAGGAGCGAAAGCCAGGGGAGCAAACGGG